rnacentral:rRNA from 1 species
CACAAGCAGCGGAGCAUGUGGCUUAAUUCGAUGCAACGCGAAAACCUUACCACCUUUGACAUGUACGGAAUCCUUUAGAGAUAGAGGAGUGCUCGAAAGAGAGCCGUAACACAGGUGCUGCAUGGCUGUCGUCAGCUCGUGUCGUGAGAUGUUGGGUUAAGUCCUGCAACGAGCGCAACCCUUGUCAUUAGUUGCUACAUUCAGUUGGGCACUCUAAUGAGACUGCCGGUGACAAACCGGAGGAAGGUGGGGAUGACGUCAAGUCCUCAUGGCCCUUAUAGGUGGGGCUACACACGUCAUACAAUGGAUGGUACAAAGGGUCGCCAACCCGCGAGGGGGAGCCAAUCCCAUAAAGCCAUUCGUAGUCCGGAUCGCAGUCUGCAACUCGACUGCGUGAAGUCGGAAUCGCUAGUAAUCGUGGAUCAGAAUGUCACGGUGAAUACGUUCCCGGGUCUU